rnacentral:rRNA from 1 species
AGCAGUAGCCACGGUAAUACGUAGGGUGCGAGCGUUAAUCGGAAUUACUGGGCGUAAAGCGUGCGCAGGCGGUUUUGUGAGACAGGCGUGAAAUCCCCGGGCUCAACCUGGGAAAGGCGCUUGUGACUGCAAAGCUAGAGUGCGGCAGAGGGGGAUGGAAUUCCGCGUGUAGCAGUGAAAUGCGUAGAUAUGCGGAGGAACACCGAUGGCGAAGGCAAUCUCCUGGGCCUGCACUGACGCUCAUGCACGAAAGCGUGGGGAGCAAACAGGAUUAGAUACCCCAGUAGUCCCUGUCUCUUAUAA